rnacentral:rRNA from 1 species
AUAUCAAUAAGCGGAGGAAAAGAAACCAACAGGGAUUGCCUUAGUAACGGCGAGUGAAGCGGCAACAGCUCAAAUUUGAAAUCUGCCUCUAGGCCGAGUUGUAAUUUGUAGAAGAUGCUUCGGGUGUGGCACCGGUCUAAGUUCCUUGGAACAGGACGUCAUAGAGGGUGAGAAUCCCGUAUGCGGCCGGUGGCCGUCCCUGUGUGGAGAUCCCUCGACGAGUCGAGUUGUUUGGGAAUGCAGCUCAAAACGGGUGGUAAAUCUCAUCUAAAGCUAAAUACCGGCCGGAGACCGAUAGCGCACAAGUA